AUUGAAACAUUUAAGAGAAAAAGUCAAAUCAUUUUUGACAAAUGUCUGUGUUAUUUGUUGGCAAAAUCUGUAAACAAACUGUUGUUUGGUACCCUCAGAUAAAGAGUCCUUUGUCCUUUGCUCAGGCUUUCCAUUUGCAUGCUAGGUCAUCCCUUGAUGCCAAACCAUUUGCUAGCAUGAUUAAGCAUAUUCGUUUAUCAGAAAAUUUCUUCUUUAAGCAGCUGUUUGAUAGGGUCAGCUGCACAUAUUCAUAUUUGCUUGCUGACACUGAAUCAAAAGAAGCUAUUCUUGUAGAUCCGGUAAUAGAUUUGGCUGAAAGAGAUGCAAAAAUUAUUGAUUACUUAGGAUUAAAGCUUAAGUAUUCAAUCAACACCCAUAUGCAUGCAGAUCACAUUACUGGUACAGGUGUAUUAAAAAAGCUUUUACCAGGCUCUCAGAGUGUGAUCAGCACAGCAAGCCAAGCUUUAGCUGAUAAACAUGUUGCACAUGGGGAUAUUCUUGAAUUUGGUAAUCAUAAGAUGGAAGUAAGAGCUACUCCAGGGCAUACAAAUGGUUGCGUUACCUACGUUUGCCAUGAACAAGGAAUCGCUUUCACUGGGGACACCUUACUUAUUCGGGGUUGCGGUCGCACCGAUUUUCAAGAAGGGAAUCCAGAAAGAUUGUACGAUUCGGUGCAUAACCAUAUCUUCUCCCUGCCAGAUAACUUUCGCUUAUUUCCAGCGCAUGAUUACAAUGGUAUUUUGGAUACGACUGUGUUGGAAGAGAAAAAGUUCAACCCACGGCUCACCAAAACUAAAGAAGAAUUUGUUGAGAUAAUGAACAAUUUAAAUCUUGCGUACCCAGCUCAAAUAGACAAAGCAUUGCCGGCAAACAAAGUUUGUGGAUUAUAUAAUUUACCUCCCGAAAUGGAAGAAAAAUACAAAUCAGUAUUGAAGCCUUAAUCUUCGAGAACAUCUUAUCUUGGUAGUGAACACUAGAAUUUUAUGUUAUCCGACUAUUUUCGUUUUCUUUAAAUUAUUCCUAUAUUAUAUACAUUCUUGGUGGAAGCAAUCAGUUAAUUUCGAAAAUUUCAUUGAAGAUGGCAGUGAUGACUCCUUCACAUUGUUAAUUGUCAGAUUUUCAUUUAAUUAGUCUAGUUUCAGACUAACAAGGGAAUGGACAAGAAGGAAGAACAAGCAUAAAAUUGUGUAAUUGGUUUUAAUAUGAGUGGUAGUACAAAACGCGAUUUUGGCCAAAUCCGGCUUUUGGCUAAAAACACGUUAUUUCCACUCCAAAUUUGGAAGAAAGAGAUUCUCAAAAAUCCCA